GACGAACGCUGGCGGCGUGCUUAACACAUGCAAGUCGUACGGUAAGGCCCUUUCGGGGGUACACGAGUGGCGCACGGGUGAGUAACACGUGAGUAACCUGCCCACAACUUUGGGAUAACGCUAGGAAACUGGUGCUAAUACUGGAUAUGUGCUCCUGCUGCAUGGUGGGGGUUGGAAAGCUCCGGCGGUUGUGGAUGGACUCGCGGCCUAUCAGCUUGUUGGUGGGGUAGUGGCCUACCAAGGCGGCGACGGGUAGCCGGCCUGAGAGGGUGACCGGCCACAUUGGGACUGAGAUACGGCCCAGACGCCUACGGGAGGCAGCAGUGGGGAAGAUUGCACAAUGGGCGCAAGCCUGAUGCAGCAACGCCGCGUGCGGGAUGACGGCCUUCGGGUUGUAAACCGCUUUCAGCAGGGACGAAGCUUUUUGUGACGGUACCUGCAGAAGAAGCACCGGCUAACUACGUG
rnacentral:rRNA from 1 species